UAAGCAUGGCAUCAGAAACUAUGAUCUCUAAGUUGUCAUUGCAAACAUGGUUCCCUCACAACAAAGCUAAAUCUGGGUCGACAAGCUAGUCAUAUUUACAAAAACAAAAUAGAUAGAGUUCAUACCAACUUUUUAGUCUCAGUCACUUCAUCAUAUAUCAUCAUUGUUGCCUUUCGUUUGCACGAUCGAACGAUGAAAACGAUAAUAAGUGCAUUGGAGUAAGCUGAAUCUGUAGGCAAACGCAAAGGAGAAUACAAAAUAAUAUGGCUCUUUGAAAGCUAAACAGG
rnacentral:lncRNA from 1 species